GCACUUGUUCACACUUCACCAAGUUAUACACCUGUGUAAAUUAAAUGGUGGUCUCUUUUUCACAUCUCACCAAGAAAGAGACCCACCAGCAUACAAAUCUGCUAAAGAUGCCUGCUUCGAAGACUUCAUCUUCUUGACAAAAGUGCUAAAGUAUUUUACUAGAAAGAAUCAUAACAAAACCUGAAAGUAAAUGCAGGAUUGUCAGGCAGAUGGAAGAAUUGUGCAGAAGAAAAGGCAGCCAGACAUGGAUCAUUGUUUUGCAAGUGCCUGGUGCAGCACAUGCAGUGACAAACCCAUGCCUCAAGCAGCUGGGCAGUAAAGGAGGCCAAGUAAAUCCUUUUCAGAUGCAGCAGCGAGUUCUGCUUUUUGAAUCAGCCUCCCUAGACAUGUACCACUGUCCUCAGGCUGAAGAAAGAGAAAACCUCUAUAUAACAGUGCAAGGUGUUUUGUUUGUUUUUAUUUUUGUGUCCUUGCACUUGUGUGUUUGAUUUUUAAUGGGUUUUAGUCUACUGAGUUUGGGAGCCAUUAGCAACGUACAUGUAUGAGCAGGACCAAAAGAUGAGCUAAUUUAGCUUGCUUCUUAAUGGUGGUGUGAUUAUAGCACAGACAUUCCUUGAAAAUGUCAUCUAUUUUAAAUUAAAAAAAAAAAAAAUAAUAAAAAUCCCAGAAAAUUGGCAUUCCAGCCAACUGCAUCCUGUUGGGAAUUUUGGCUCCUGUUGAGGCAAAGAGCCAUAACUAUAGUUUUGUCUUCUAAGCUUCAGAGGCAAUAAACAUCUAUUUGAUUAGUGAUUGUACUACUUCUUUGUAUUAUUCUUAUUCUUCUUUGUACAAGAAUCUUCUGGGAAGUGCAGAGCAUUCAAUCCCUUGAGGUCAGCAUCUAUCAGCAGGUACUCAGCAAGCUACCGUAAUCACCUAUGCUACUUAUUAUACUUGUUAAUGGGAUUUGACACCUUUGCCUUCUGGCUUCAGCUGCUGCCUACACUUAUUCUCUGAAAACACUGAUUAAAUUACUCACCUAGUAAUUUUCAGGAUCAGGCCAACAUUUUUAAAAACACACAAUGCAAUUUGAUCUUGUUGUAUUAUCUAAACCCAUUUGAAACUCUGGUUCAGCAAAAUCAUUUAAACCGUCGCUGAA